GAUGAACGCUGGCGGCGUGCUUAACACAUGCAAGUCGAACGGAAAGGCCCUGCUUUUGUGGGGUGCUCGAGUGGCGAACGGGUGAGUAACACGUGAGUAACCUGCCCUUGACUUUGGGAUAACUUCAGGAAACUGGGGCUAAUACCGGAUAGGAGCUCCUGCUGCAUGUUGGGGGUUGGAAAGUUUCGGCGGUUGGGGAUGGACUCGCGGCUUAUCAGCUUGUUGGUGGGGUAGUGGCUUACCAAGGCUUUGACGGGUAGCCGGCCUGAGAGGGUGACCGGCCACAUUGGGACUGAGAUACGGCCCAGACUCCUACGGGAGGCAGCGGUGGGGAAUAUUGCAGAAUGGGCGGAAGCCUGAUGCAGCAACGCCGCGUGCGGGAUGACGGCCUUCGGGUUGUAAACCGCUUUCGCAUGUGACGAAGCGUGAGUGACGGUAAUGGGUAAAGAAGCACCGGCUAACUACGUG
rnacentral:rRNA from 1 species